GCCGUGUUGGCGUAGUGGUAGCGCGUCUCACUCGUAUAAUAUCCGAUUGCAAUGCUUGCGAUGAGAAGGUCACUCGUUCAAUCCGGGUACGCGGCA